rnacentral:rRNA from 1 species
UGGGGAAUCUUGCACAAUGGGGGAAACCCUGAUGCAGCGACGCCGCGUGAGCGAUGAAGGUUUUCGAAUCGUAAAGCUCUGUCCUAUGGGAAGAUAAUGACGGUACCAUGGGAGGAAGCCCCGGCUAACUACGUGCCAGCAGCCGCGGUAAUACGUAGGGGGCGAGCGUUGUCCGGAAUUACUGGGCGUAAAGGGUUCGCAGGCGGCAUGGAAAGUCCGAUGUAAAAGGCGAAGGCUCAACCUUCGUAAGCAUCGGAAACUGUCAAGCUUGAGUGAAGGAGAGGCAAGUGGAAUUCCUAGUGUAGCGGUGGAAUGAGUAGAUAUUAGGAGGAAUACCGGUGGCGAAGGCGACGUGCUGGACUUGAAAUGACGCUGAGGAAAGAAAGCGUGGGUAGCAAACAGG